rnacentral:rRNA from 1 species
GAGCAAUACCGCGUGAGGGAGGAAGGCUCUUGGGUUGUAAACCUCUUUUCUCAGGGAAGAACACAAUGACGGUACCUGAGGAAUAAGCAUCGGCUAACUCCGUGCCAGCAGCCGCGGUAAUACGGAGGAUGCAAGCGUUAUCCGGAAUGAUUGGGCGUAAAGCGUCCGCAGGUGGUUAUGUAAGUCUGCUGUCAAAGCGUCUAGCUCAACUAGAUACAGGCAGUGGAAACUACGUGACUAGAGUGCGUUCGGGGCAGAGGGAAUUCCUGGUGUAGCGGUGAAAUGCGUAGAUAUCAGGAAGAACACCGGUGGCGAAAGCGCUCUGCUAGGCCGCAACUGACACUGAGGGACGAAAGCUAGGGGAGCGAAUGGGAUUAGAUACCCCAGUAGUCCUAGCCGUAAACGAUGGAUACUAGGCGUGGCUUGUAUCGACCCGAGCCGUGCCGUAGCUAACGCGUUAAGUAUCCCGCCUGGGGAGUACGCACGCAAGUGUGAAACUCAAAGGAAUUGACGGGGGCCCGCACAAGCGGUGGAGUACGUGGUUUAAUUCGAUGCAACGCGAAGAACCUUACCAAGACUUGACAUGUCGCGGAUUUUCUGGAAAUGGAAAAGUGCCUUCGGGAGCGCGAACACAGGUGGUGCAUGGCUGUCGUCAGCUCGUGUCGUGAGAUGUUGGGUUAAGUCCCGCAACGAGCGCAACCCUCGUUUUUAGUUGCCAGCAUUAAGUUGGGCACUCUAGAGAGACUGCCGGUGACAAACCGGAGGAAGGUGGGGAUGACGUCAAGUCAGCAUGCCCCUUACGUCUUGGGUUACACACGUACUACAAUGCUACGGACAGAGGGCAGCAAGCUAGCGAUAGCAAGCAAAUCCCGUAAACCGUAGCUCAGUUCAGAUCGCAGGCUGCAACUCGCCUGCGUGAAGGAGGAAUCGCUAGUAAUUGCAGGUCAGCAUACUGCAGUGAAUUCGUUCCCGGGCCUUGUACACACCGCCCGUCACACCAUGGAAGCUGGCAACGCCCGAAGUCAUUACCCCAACUUUUCGGAGAGGGGGAUGCCUAAGGCAGUGCUGGUGACUGGGGUGAAGUCGUAACAAGGUAGCCGUACCGGAAGGUG